CCAAGCAAAUUGAAUUGGGAGAACAUCCUAGGACUGGCUGUUUGUUCUGUUUUUUGUCCUUUAGGUGAGAACUCUUCUUUUACAGCUGAUAUUUUCAUCGCUGCAGAACUCAUAUAUCGGUGUUGCCAUAAGAGAACUUACAAUAGAAAGAGUUUAACGUCAGACCAUAUGGGGCUGACUUAUAUUCCAUUAUCCGCUGAUAUAAAGCGAAAUGUGGAUCCAAAGGGUUGGUGGCCUAAUUCGACGUCACUCUUUCGAUUUUGCUCCUCGGAAGUCGUUUGAAUAAAAAGCUGUGGGGUUCACCUCGUAUGCCAACCACCGAUGGAAUAUUCAAAUAAGAUUGCAAUGGCGCCUGAACCUGCCGAUGAGAGACUGGCUUUGGUGGCUUUGGUCUGCGAAUGCAGAACAAAAGAUGCCUCGCACUAGAGCCAACGACGAUUAUCACCAUCAACAAGAGCAGCAGAAGCAACCAUUUCCUUGAAAACGACACUGCACUGAGGCUCCCAUCCCCAUCAUCGAUGACGACGACCUUUCUAUUCCCUCCUCCGACCUUUCUAUCCACCUCAGAUAUGUGGUGGAGUCCCCUGGAUCAAAUCUUCCAGACGUCUGAUUGCCAAGCAAAUGAUUAUCCUCUUCCCAAUUCGCAGUGGACUCCCGGGAAUCUUGAUCCUACCUCACCAGCCACUCCAGAAUUCAAACAAUAAUGCCAUGCAUUUAGAUAUGUUUCAGAGAUCAAGUGGGGUGAUUUACAAGAGUUUUUCGGAGUAUUAGCAAGUGACAUGAGGCCCUUUAAAGGCUGCUGCAAGAUCAGGCUCUCUCCAACAAGUUUUUCUAUUCACUAGAACUAGUCAAUGUAUGGAAUCAACAAAGUCACGGUGCUGCAAAGAUUGGCCACAUGAUGAUGAAGAAUAAUGGUAUUCAAUUACAUCUAUUUUUCCUCAUUGUUGAUUACCAGUGAUCCCACUGUUGUAGGAGAAUAUUGGUGGCAGUCAGCUAGGCUCUGCAAAUCAAGUUAGUCAUACAAAUUGGUUGAUGUGAUCCAGUAUUAAUUUUUGGUUUCACUUUGUUACUUAAUACUAUGUUUCUGGGUGAUUGAUGUAAUAAGUUUUGAUUGUUGUUUCUGUUUGUAGUGGGAACUCUAAACUUUUCACUUGGAAUGGUUACAGAUUCCGGUCAAGUCAAGUACAUGCUGAUCUAACUGAAUUUGAGACGACUACAAAUAAGAUAAAGGCAAAUGUAUGUGCUAUUUCCCUUGGUUAUACUUGUGCCUAUGCACUUUUCCAUUACA